rnacentral:pre_miRNA from 1 species
CAGCUACUCCCUCCGUUCGGAAUUACUUGUCUCGGAAAUGGAUGUAUCUAGAACUAAAAUACAUCUAGAUACAUCCAUUUCUACGACAAGUAAUUCCGAACGGAGGGAGUAACUC